rnacentral:rRNA from 1 species
UACGUAGGUGGCAAGCGUUGUCCGGAAUUACUGGGCGUAAAGGGUUCGUAGGUGGCCUACUAAGUCAGACGUGAAAUCCCUCGGCUCAACCGGGGAACUGCGUCCGAUACUGGCGGGCUUGAAUUCGGGAGAGGGAUGUGGAAUUCCAGGUGUAGCGGUGAAAUGCGUAGAUAUCUGGAGGAACACCGGUGGCGAAGGCGGCAUCCUGGACCGACAUUGACGCUGAGGCGCGAAAGCCAGGGGAGCAAACGGG